UUUUAAAGAUAAAUAGAUAUUUAUCGGCUUGCAUCGUUCAGUAUUGUUUAGCCACUCCUUUGUGAAAUAACAUCAAUUAGCAUCUUUUUGUUUCGAAUUAGAAACUUCGAUCACGGUCAUAGUGAUAGUGUAAUAAUAGGUUUUGUACACCUCUUGGGUACAUCCUAGAGGGCACUGUCAGUGACACUCCGAGGUGAUAAAAACGUAUACAACUUUUUUGUGUCUCAGUGUAUAUGAAAUUUUCAUGAAAAUGCAGCUUUUCAAUUAAUAUUACUCUAGACAGGUAUAGAGCUUGUCGAAUCGCUGGGAGCGACCAGUUUCGAGAUAAUUGAAUCUUUGUUGGAUUCUAAUGCUGCCUAAAUAAAAAAUGCUAAAGUAUUUAAAAAGACAGAGCUAAACAGUGCUAUCAAAACUAACCCAAAUAAGAAAAAGUAAGAAGAAAGCGCUAUAUCCUGCAUUAUGAUGAUAUUCGUAUAUAGCCAAGAAAAUUUAAAAAGCACGAAGAGCGCGCUGGCGAUAUGUGGAUAUAUUUCCAAAUAGAAGGCAUCCUAAUUUAAAAACUUUCAACCACUUGAGCAUUAGUUGUAAGAUUUAAAAAAAAAUUCCAUUGCUGUUGAUAUUACCGUUUUGUUUUGGUUUCAUAUGUUCUAUGUAAUCAUAUUAUAAUAUAAUAUAUAUAAUAAAUUGUUGUAUUAAACACUUAUUUAACGAUUAAAUUAAGAUAUCUUGUCUUUACAAAACACAUGGCUAUACUGGACACCUUAUUACCAUACUAUUCAUUAAUUGAACACAAUAAAAAAUUGAAGCAUUAAAAAUUCAAUUACCUGACAAACGGUAGCUCUAAGCGACUCGACAAAGGUGUAAAUGAUGGAAAUUUGAAGAUUUCUAUGAAUAAUCCGUAUACUCUAAGUAUACGGAUUAUUUAGGCACAAAAAAGUUGUACGCGUUUUUAUCCAGUCGGAGUGUUGCCGAGAGCGCCAUCUAGGAUUCACACAAAUUAAAAUCGAACUCAAAUUUGUCAACACCAAAAACCCUUCAUUGCCAAAUUUUAGGCUGAUAUGUUUCUUUUUGUAUGAAUUACUAAGAAAUAAUGAGAUUAAAACUUUAACAUCCUGUAUCUCAGUUAUUAUCAAUUUUCGAACUAGAAAUAUUUAGUCCAAUUGUAACAUUCUCAACCAAAGAAUAUGCCGUUGUUCUAUGCCGACUAAGUUAUGCGACACCCUGCAUAGACAGUGUGGCAAAACAAGAUUCUCGAUUUAAAUAUGAUAGUCCACAUAGCGCCAUAGAAAUCCAUUUUCUUACCGUUCCUACUUUCUUCCUAUUAUUUUUAACAGGACUAUAAAUUUUAUUAUUACUCAUAUGUAAAAUAAAUAAAACAGUAAAAAAAAAUAAAAAAGAACAAUAUAAAAUAAA